rnacentral:rRNA from 1 species
AUACGGAGGAUCCAAGCGUUAUCCGGAAUCAUUGGGUUUAAAGGGUCCGUAGGCGGGUUUGUAAGUCAGUGGGGAAAGUUUUCGGCUCAACCGGAAAAUUGCCAUUGAUACUGCAAGUCUUGAAUCAUUAUGAAGUGGUUAGAAUGUGUAGUGUAGCGGUGAAAUGCAUAGAUAUUACACAGAAUACCGAUUGCGAAGGCAGAUCACUAAUAAUGUAUUGACGCUAAGGGACGAAAGCGUGGGUAGCGAACAGGAUUAGAAACCCUAGUAGUCC